AAUCAGAAGUUCUCACAUUGGAAAGAUCACAUCGGCUGGGGCAUGGAGAACAGACUGGAAGCAGAAAGACCUGAAGUUGGUAGACACAUGAAGAGCUGAUCCUGCACUGGGGAGCUGGCGUUGGGAAGGCAGAGAAGUGGACGCAAGACAGAUUUAGGAGUGCCUCCUGGGAUAAGGACUUUGUCUCCUUGGAAGCGGGGAUGGUGCUUCAGUCUCCUCCAGUCGCCUGCCUGACAUCCUGAGCCUGGGAGCUCCUGCUGUCUUUCCCCCUUCGCCUCACUCAGAGGUGAACAGCAGCAUCUCCGCUGAAGCUCCGGGUGCUGAAGUGCAUCACUGAAACGCUGCACAAUCUCAGUUUGCAAAGAGGAGACCCAGCUCGACUUGAACAUCACUGCACACAGGUCUUCCUGCAGGGGCCCAGACAAGGGCCAGGAGUCCACAGCCUGCUUAUGCCCAGCUGGAGCCAGCUGCCCCAGGCGAGUGCUGAAAUAGCUCUGCUUCUGCCCAAAGGAGCUCAGAGGAUGUGUUCCUGGUGGUCUUUGGCUGAAGGGCAUCAACAAAAUUGGAGAUUCCACCAAGAUUCAUCUGAGACCCUUAUUGCCUUGGACCAGGACCCUCACUCAACUCAGUAAUAGUGUACACACAUCUUUUUUUUUUUUUGAGGGGGGCAGAUCCUGUUUUUUCCCAAGCUCCCCAGGUAAUUAUAAUGUGCAACCUGGGUUUUGAGGGACUGGGUGACAAGUCACUUCAGGAGGCCUUAGUGGGGUCAGAAGGGCAAUGUCUGUACAGCGCUGAGCUCAGGCCUUGCACAUGAUCCUCAGGUACAAUGAGCUAUCACUUUUUAUCGCUUUUUCUUUUAUUUGCUCUGUGCCUUAUUCAUUGUGCUGUCCCUCUCAAUAAAUG